GGACUACUGGGGUAUCUAAUCCUGUUUGCUCCCCUAGCUUUCGUCUCUCAGCGUCAGUUGUGAUCCAGCGAGCCGCUUUCGCCUCGGAUGUUCCUACGGAUAUCUACGCAUUUCACCGCUACACCCGUAAUUCCACUCGCCUCUCUCACACUCUAGCACGGCAGUUUCGCUAGCAGCCCCUAGGUUAAGCCUAGGGAUUUCACUCUCGACUUGCCGCACCGCCUACGGACCCUUUACGCCCAGUAAUUCCGAGCAACGCUGGCCCCCUACGUAUUACCGCGGCUGCUGGCAC
rnacentral:rRNA from 1 species